rnacentral:tRNA from 1 species
GCUGGCGUAGCUCAAUUGGAAGAGCAACUGACUUGUAAUCAGUAGGUUGCGGGUUCAAGUCCCAUCGCCAGCUCCA